UACGUAGGGUGCGAGCGUUAAUCGGGAUUACUGGGCGUAAAGCGUGCGCAGGCGGCUUCGCAAGUCAGACGUGAAAUCCCCGGGCUUAACCUGGGAAUGGCGUUUGAAACUACGGAGCUGGAGUGUGGCAGAGGGAGGUAGAAUUCCACGUGUAGCGGUGAAAUGCGUAGAUAUGUGGAGGAAUACCGAUGGCGAAGGCAGCCUCCUGGGCCAACACUGACGCUCAUGCACGAAAGCGUGGGGAGCAAACAGG
rnacentral:rRNA from 1 species